UCUGGUAUCAGUCGAAGACAGUCUUCAAUUACACAUCACAUGUGGCGCGGGCUCAGUCCCAAUACAUAGGGUGACACCCGCGCAUGCCUAUCAAAGCACUCAUCAUAUGAGCCCCUGGAUGGAGAGCCACGCUUCGUCACACGAUCACGCGUGAGAGUUCCGGGAAUCGGAUAGUCUCCACUAAUCCUUUGCUUUGACACCAAAUAUCACAAAGCCCUCAGAUCUCGAGGAUUGUGUGAUUCAAAUAAAUAUGCAUAAAUCACAACUUCUUGUGAUUUGAAGAUUGAGAUCAUAUCUCAACCAUAAAAGAGAUCAGAUCUCUUACCUUUAGAAGGAGGUUCCUUCAAGGAUGCUUCACAGCCGCACAAGCGUCCGGCCUCGAUGACUUGUCCACGCGAAGCUCCGGAAUGAUCAGCUUUCCGGAGAGUGCUAGCUCGCAGGGAGGCAGAAGGUUGGCUGAAAGGAAGAAGAAGGAAGAAGAUUGGACCUUCACAGCUCAAGAACUCCUUCUUGGGCUUUCACCUUCAGAACUACUCUCUCUUCUCACUCUCUUUCUCUGGU
rnacentral:lncRNA from 1 species